UCCACGCCCUAAACGAUGAACACUAGUCGUCGGGAUGCUAGUCAUCUCGGUGAUGCACUUAACAGAUUAAGUGUUCCGCCUGGGGAGUACGGUCGCAAGAUUAAAGCUCAAAGGAAUAGACGGGGACCCGCACAAGUGGUGGGUCUUAAGGCUCAGUGCCGUAGCUAACGCGUUAAGUGCACCGCCUGGGGAGUAUGCCCGCAAGGGUGAAACUCAAAGGAAUUGACGGGGGCCCGCACAAGCGGUGGAGCAUGUGGUUUAAUUCGAUGA
rnacentral:rRNA from 1 species